AAUAAGUGCAGUUUUGCACUAUUCAUGUUCAACGUUUAACCGUCCGUCUUAUUUGAAAAUUUUUUAUGAUUAGUAUUUUUAUUGCUAUUAGAUAAUAAAACAUGAAUAGUACUUUAUGUGUGACUAAAUGUUUUUAAUUUUUUCACAAAUUUUUCAAAUAAGACGGACGGUCAAACGUUGAACAUAAAUAGUAUAAAACUACACUUAUU
rnacentral:pre_miRNA from 1 species